UCGCUUUCCUCGGUUUCCUGCAUUUAUCGUCGCCAAGGUGAUUUGGUCACAUAUUUGUGAAUCUAGGGAAGCGAUAUCACUUUCAAGAUGCAGAACGAAGCGGGUGAAAUGAUGAAUCUUUAUAUCCCUAGAAAAUGUUCUGCUACGAACAGACUAAUCACUGCCAAGGAUCACACAU